rnacentral:rRNA from 1 species
GACGAACGCUGGCGGCGUGCUUAACACAUGCAAGUCGAACGGAAAGGCCCUGCUUGCCGGGUACUCGAGUGGCGAACGGGUGAGUAGCACGUGGGUGAUCUGCCCUGCACUUCGGGAUACGCCUGGGAAACUGGGUCUAAUACCGGAUAGGAGCCAUUUUUAGUGUGAUGGUUGGAAAGUUUUUUCGGUGUAGGAUGAGCUCGCGGCCUAUCAGCUUGUUGGUGGGGUAAUGGCCUACCAAGGCGGCGACGGGUAGCCGGCCUGAGAGGGUGGACGGCCACAUUGGGACUGAGAUACGGCCCAGACUCCUACGGGAGGCAGCAGUGGGGAAUAUUGCACAAUGGGCGCAAGCCUGAUGCAGCGACGCCGCGUGGGGGAUGACGGCCUUAGGGUUGAAAACGCCUUUCGCUAGGGACGAAGCUUUUUGUGACGGUACCUAGAGAAGAAGCACCGGCUAACUACGUG